rnacentral:rRNA from 1 species
UGUGACCUCAAAUCAGGUAGGACUACCCGCUGAACUUAAGCAUAUCAAUAAGCGGAGGAAAAGAAACUAACAAGGAUUCCCCUAGUAACUGCGAGUGAAGCGGGAAAAGCUCAAAUUUAAAAUCUGGCAGUCUUUGGCUGUCCGAGUUGUAAUCUAGAGAAGUGUUAUCCGCGCUGGACCGUGUACAAGUCUCCUGGAAUGGAGCGUCAUAGAGGGUGAGAAUCCCGUCUUUGACACGGACUACCAGGGCUUUGUGAUGCGCUCUCAAAGAGUCGAGUUGUUUGGGAAUGCAGCUCAAAAUGGGUGGUAAAUUCCAUCUAAAGCUAAAUAUUGGCGAGAGACCGAUAGCGAACAAGUACCGUGAGGGAAAGAUGAAAAGAACUUUGGAAAGAGAGUUAAACAGUACGUGAAAUUGCUGAAAGGGAAACGCUUGAAGUCAGUCGCGUCGUCCAGGGAUCAACCUUGCUUUUGCUUGGUGCACUUUCUGGCUGACGGGUCAGCAUCAAUUUUGAUCAUUGGAAAAAGAUUAAGGGAAUGUGGCAUCUUUGGAUGUGUUAUAGCCCUUGGUUGCAUACGAUGGUUGGGAUUGAGGAACUCAGCACGCCGCAAGGCCGGGUUUUAAACCACGUACGUGCUUAGGAUGCUGGCAUAAUGGCUUUAAUCGACCCGUCUUGAAACACGGACCAAGGAGUCUAACAUGCCUGCGAGUGUUUGGGUGGAAAACUCGAGCGCGUAAUGAAAGUGAAAGUUGAGAUCCCUGUCGUGGGGAGCAUCGACGCCCGGACCAGACCUUUUGUGACGGUUCCGCGGUAGAGCAUGUAUGUUGGGACCCGAAAGAUGGUGAACUAUGCCUGAAUAGGGUGAAGCCAGAGGAAACUCUGGUGGAGGCUCGUAGCGAUUCUGACGUGCAAAUCGAUCGUCAAAUUUGGGUAUAGGGGCGAAAGACUAAUCGAACC